UAGAAAGUCUGCCUGGUGGCUUGAGAUCAUCGCUGUCGAAGGAUGUUAUGGAGACAAUCCACUUAGAAGCUUGGCUGCUGUGCUGGAUUUAAUUGUUUGGGGUUUUUUUUUUUUCUUCUUCUUUUCCCUGCUCUGCUCAUCUCCCCAUCAGCAAGCUGGGGAAUACGUGUGGGAAACAAAUCAGCAGACAGACAGUGGCAUGUGAAGCGAUUCUCCCCGCUGGCACAGAUGCGAUUGCGAAGCAGCAACACAAGUGGGGAUUUGAAGGCCAAAGAUAACUUGCCGCUUUCUUGCUUGUAAGCCCUAAAAUGGUUGGGAGGAAGGAGCCUGCUAGUUUGUGAGCGAUGUUGGAUGCUGCAUGGCUGCGUCUCUAUCUAAUCGCUUUCUUCAGCGUUCGUUAAGUAGUGGGGACAGGCCGGCGUUACAGCUUGUGAACUGGUGCUUUACUGGUGGGCUGGCGCAGGUGUUGGUGUAAAAGGCUGUUGUCUCCAAGAUGAGACAAGCCCUGAAAUGUCUGUAGAUAUUCUUUUUUGUUGUUUUUUCUCCCCUUUCAGCUCUACUUGGGUUUGCUGUGUGCAUGCUGGGCAAGAAGGAAGCGAGAUUCUCCCCUAAACCUUGCCGCGCUCUGUUGCGGGAGCGAGCCGACACCUGGUGUAAUGGAUGUACGGGAGGAGGUGACCCUGGACGGCGAGAUAUGUGCAGUGGGGCUGGUCUCUGUGAACACCAAGGAGAUCUGCUGGUAGAAGGGCCAGCCAAGAGCAAGCGUCGGACGGUGAGGAUGGCGUACCCGCUUCGACACCAUGAUCUCCAGUUCCCCAGAGCACGCAGAGCACUCCGCUGCUUCCUUGCUUCCCUCCUGGCUCCUGUACGAGCCAGCGGGUGUUCGGGCCCCCCCCCCCCCGCCUAGUGUUAACUGGCUUUAGCUGGGAGGGGGGUCGCGGCUCCUUGUUGGUACCUACCAGUCCUCGGGAGACGGUGAGCACAAAAGCUGGGCGAGGAGGGAUCCAGGGCAGGUAUCGUACGGCUUUGAAGCGGCGAGCUCCUGCGGAGCUUUGGGGUAGGGCGGUCGUUGUCAUGCCAUUUUCCCCACUCUCUUCCAGCAGGAAUUGCACCGAGUCCUCGCUCUGUGCAAGAGAAAUUCUCCAGACGAGGUUAUCGAACCCUGGAGGCGGAUUUAAGGGCGCUGGCCUGUCUCUGACAAGGGGAAGGUGACGCUGGAAUCAGAGCUGAGCCCGUCCAUUAACGUUCUUGGCUCUUUUCCCAACCGCUUCUUCCAUAUCCCCUUUCCCAAACCGGAGCCCUCAAGGCUGCGAACCAAACAAGGCUCCUCGUGAGAUACGGGCCCGGUAAACGCGUAUCCAAAGCGAUGCCAAGAGCAAAUGCGGUGGUUUUGUCUCCGCUCGCCUCCCUCGUGCAUCGGGUGAUGCCGCAGAAGGCGCGCGGCCAUCCCUCGAGUUGGGUGACGUCGUGAGCUGCAGCGGUGGGAGGAAGGAGCCCUUCAUCACGCGUUUGCUCAGCACAGAGCGAGUGCAGACUUCCCAGCUCAGCGCUGCGACCUGCUGCUUAUCCUCUCCAUGCAAGACUCCCUGCACGGAUCUCGGCUCCGACACCGCCCCGCAGGACCCCCAGGACGGAUUUAUGGUGUCUUACCGGUGACAAGGGCUGAGCUACUCUGGUCGGGAGCAGUUUUGGGAGGGGGGGAGCAGCAGUUUCGGGGCUUCGACUGACUUUUCUCUGUCCCCGUUUCUGUUUUAGCGAUGCCAUCGAGCCUGGUCUGUGCUGCGGGAAGCAGAGAGCUCUUCUGAGCGCAGGACUCGUCUGUGCCCACCCCUGGAGCCCACCCCAGCGAUGAGACAGGAGUCCGGACUCCUGUCCAGAGAUGAGGAGGAUCCGGACAGAGGUAGGAAAAGCUGCAGGAAUGGGGGGAGGGAAGAACCCCUGGCAGCAGGGGCUUUGGACACAGAAGCAGCAGAGAGCUCCGGAGCUGCGAGUUGCGCCUACGGCCACUUUCUUGCUUCUGCUGGGGAAAACGGAACGCGGAGCCUGGCUGAAUUUGGGGGAGAAAGGCAGCCGUGAGCAGUGUGGGGCCCGCGGGCAGCUGCACACGUGCGCAGUCUGGGACGUGCCUUAGCCGGAGGUGUCUUCCCCCAUCCUAGAUGCGGCCAGCCCUUGGGUUGGAGAGCAGACUCGCUGCAGCCAGCCAGCUCCUAGCGCUGAGGUGCUUGGAGGCAGAGGUGUCCUUUACUGGACCAUCUGCUUCUCUGCAGCGAGCCCUGAGGCACCCACCGCCCUCCUGCGAGCCCUCGCAGCCCGGCUUCUGCUGCGCCCUGGACCCUACGCCAGCCACGGCCGCCUCCGCAGCGCGCAGGCGAGAGCGCAAAGCCAUGCAAGUCCCGUCUCCAGCAGGAAGACGCUGGCAGGAGCUGAGCAGCCCCGUGCUGCACAGAACAGCCGCGCCAUGUGGCCGCCCUGGACUUUGUUUGGAUGCUGGCAACUAUUUGAGGGGUUUUU